rnacentral:rRNA from 1 species
AACGUAGGGUGCAAGCGUUGUCCGGAAUUACUGGGUGUAAAGGGAGCGCAGGCGGAUCGACAAGUUGGGAGUGAAAACUACGGGCUCAACCCGUAACCUGCUUUCAAAACUGUCGGUCUUGAGUGGUGUAGAGGUAGGCGGAAUUCCCGGUGUAGCGGUGGAAUGCGUAGAUAUCGGGAGGAACACCAGUGGCGAAGGCGGCCUACUGGGCACUAACUGACGCUGAGGCUCGAAAGCAUGGGUAGCAAACAGG